rnacentral:rRNA from 1 species
AUGUGGUUUCCUAAACCUAGAACAAUGCUCUGGGUGUCGAGCUAUUUCUGCAUGAGUACACAUUGUGAUGGGUGUCACAAGGAAAACAACAUCGAAAACAUGUUGGUCAGACAGGGCAUGCAUAUGUGUUUUCAAAACAUAGACAGCGAGCAGCUUGCUGAAGGGGAACUGCAUGGGUGUUGCUUAAGCACCAGGCUGGAAGAAUAUAUAUUUGGUGUAAGGUUUAUUCUUGGUGCCUCCGAAGCCCUAAUCUCAGACCAACAUACUGGCCACUUGAGUGAUCUCUCCAUGAGUGCACAUGCUGAUACAUCUUGUAAGGAAAAAACAACACAGCAUACAAGAUAUGUUGUUCAAGUGUACUAUAUGUGUACUCUGCAGUUUGCUUUUCAGCCCAUGUUCAGCCUCGACGUGGUGGCUAUUUUCAGUCCCCAAUAUUUUCCACCUAUAUGUUUUUAA